CCUACGGGAGGCAGCAGUGAGGAAUAUUGGUCAAUGGACGAGAGUCUGAACCAGCCAAGUAGCGUGAAGGAUGACUGCCCUAUGGGUUGUAAACUUCUUUUAUAAAGGAAUAAAACGAGGCACGUGUGCCUUUUUGCAUGUACUUUAUGAAUAAGGAUCGGCUAACUCCGUGCCAGCAGCCGCGGUAAUACGGAGGAUCCUAGCGUUAUCCGGAUGUAUUGGGUUUAAAGGGAGCGUAGAUGGGUUGUUAAGUCAGUUGUGAAAGUUUGCGGCUCAACCGUAAAAUUGCAAUUGAUACUGGCAGUCUUGAGUACAGUUGAGGUAGGCGGAAUGCGUGGUGUAGCGGUGAAAUGCUUAGAUAUCACGAAGAACCCCGAUUGCGAAGGCAGCUUACUAAACUGUGACUGACAUUGAUGCUCGAAAGUGUGGGUAUCAAACAGGAUUAGAUACCCUAGUAGUC
rnacentral:rRNA from 1 species